UCAGUUCGGAUUGGAGUCUGCAACUCGACUCCAUGAAGCUGGAUUCGCUAGUAAUCGCGCAUCAGCCAUGGCGCGGUGAAUACGUUUCCCGGGCCCUUGUACACACCGCCCGUCAAGCCAUGGGAGUCGGGAGUGCCUGAAGUUCGUGACCGUCACAGGAGCGACCUAAGGCAAGACCGAUGACUGGGGCUAAGUCGUAACAAGGUAUC
rnacentral:rRNA from 1 species